rnacentral:lncRNA from 1 species
UCUUGCAGAUCUUCGGGGCUAAUUAUAGAUUAUUUCUAAGAGAAUUUUCUAGCACUUUAUAGCAAAAACUGAAUUUUGAAUUUUGAAUUUUUUUUAGAGAAACCUAGCCUUAAUUUUGGUGCCAUUUAUGUAGUAAGAUUUUGACAAUCGACAGCCGACAGUUUGAGUUUAGUAAAAAUAGAGCAUUACACGAUAGAACAAAGUGCCUUCAUUAUUGAACAAUAUUUCAAAAAUAAAUAUAAAAAUAAAAGCUUGGUGGCCGCAGUUUGAAAAAUUCCGGGAGAUAAGAUCCGUUAGAGACAUCAAAGAGACUGGUCGUCCAAAAACAAAUCCAUUAAAUGACAAUAUCGAUGCAGUGCUUGGGAAUUGCAUUUUUCAAGAAGCACUUUACAGCGUAUACUCACUAAAGAUCUGUGCUCUGUGCUUACAAAAUUCAGGUUCUGAGGACCCCCGUGUGCAUGCCACUGUUCGGAUUUGCGGCUGGUAGCAUAGUUAGACCAUACUUUUUUCAAAAAUUGGCUAGUCAAGCAGUGUCGGUUACAUGUGAUCGCGAUAUAAAAACCCAGCAUAUUUUGCCGAUAUUGGAUGAUAUUAAUUUGGCCAAUCUGUGAAUUCAAUUCAGCAAGAGAAACAAUGUAAUUACUGCAUGAGACAUUUCUGGUCUAUUGCAACAAGCCCCCAAUCACAAGUAUCAAGGAUGAGAAUCAACGUUGCAUCAAUGAAAUUUAACAGAAUAGUGUUAUUCCUUAAGUCACCCUAUCCUAUGCACUUUAUGAUUCAAUUAAAAAUAAUUCUAUCGAAGGACCAAAAACUGUAUAUCCUAAUCAAUUCCAAUCUUGUGUUAUUUUUAAGAUACUCUUUGUGUGAAACACUACAUGAUUCAAAUGACCGUUUUGCGAAUUUUCGUAAAUUUCGAUCAGUUUAAGGUAAUGUUCGAUUACUUUUCGGCACAAAUCUCAGCCAUAACUUGACUAAUGUGGAUUUUUAAGUGCUCAACAGUUAAAGGCUUAUCAGCACAAAUACGAUUUUUCCUGCAGCGUGACAAAAAUAAUUCAACAGUGUCAAAUCACAUGAUCUCAGUGAUCAACUAACAUCGCCAAAGCGAGAGAACACACGGCCGGAAAAUUUCCCUCGCAAUAAAGCCAUACUCGCUAGGGCUGUGUAGCAUGUGACAUCAUCUUGUUGGAACCACAUAUUAUCCAAGUCAUGUUCUUCAAUUGCAGGCCAAAACAAUUCGGUUAUUGUCGUUUUCAAAGAAGUAAGGACCAAUAACACCUACGGACCAAAGAGUGCUCCAGACGGUAAGUUUGUUUAGGGUAUAAUGCCAUCUCUGUACUUAUUCGGACAUUUUGGAAGCCAAAAAUACGAGAAUUUUACUCAAAUGCGUAUUCCCCGAGAGUUAAAAAGUGUGCCUCGAGGCUGGAGAAAAUUUUAUUUUUGAAAAAUCGCCGCUCACAGCUUAUUGUUCAAUCACUCAAUCGCGUGAAAAUAAAGUAAUGAGACUGAUUAUACUGCUGCGAAUGUGGUAACCCUGCGACCUUGAAAUUCCCUUUUCUUUUCCUUAUCCUCUCUAUUGAUAUAUCUGCCUUGGCUCUAGUUUGUUUAGUUCGCCUGCUGUGUCGUUUUGAGUAAACGUGUAUUCGUGGUGCUUCUCAUGAAAAUGGCAAACCGCAAAUCAAGUCUACUAUUGCUAAGCUCUCAGCGU